rnacentral:rRNA from 1 species
AGAUUGAACGCUGGCGGCAUGCCUUACACAUGCAAGUCGAACGGCAGCACGGGAGCAAUCCUGGUGGCGAGUGGCGAACGGGUGAGUAAUACAUCGGAACGUGCCCAAUCGUGGGGGAUAACGCAGCGAAAGCUGUGCUAAUACCGCAUAAGAUCUACGGAUGAAAGCAGGGGAUCGCAAGACCUUGCGCGAAUGGAGCGGCCGAUGGCAGAUUAGGUAGUUGGUGAGGUAAAGGCUCACCAAGCCUUCGAUCUGUAGCUGGUCUGAGAGGACGACCAGCCACACUGGGACUGAGACACGGCCCAGACUCCUACGGGAGGCAGCGAGUGGGGAAUUUUUAGGACAAUGGGCGAAAGCCUGAUCCAGCCAUGCCGCGUGCAGGAUGAAGGCCUUCGGUUGUAACGUGUCGUUUUAGUACGGAGACGUAAAAGUACUUUUUACUAAGUAAGUAAGGCUACAGUAGACGGUAACCGUAAG